rnacentral:misc_RNA from 1 species
AAGUCGUAACAAGGUUUCCGUAGGUGAACCUGCGGAAGGAUCAUUAACGAAUUGCGUUCGGGGUUGUUGCUGGUUUUCUUUUUAACAGGAGAGAACAUGUGCACGCCUCGCAAUCCAUUUCAAACCACACUUGUGCACUUCAGAGGGGGAGCCUCUCUUGGCCUCUCCUUCUUUCAUCACUACAAACCACUUUAAAGUCUUUUGUAUUUGUUGGUUAACUAUAAUGUUAAAUACAA